UGAAAGCGUCGUUAAGGGUCUCCUGCAGGGUUGCUAAUUUAUGCAGAUUAAUAUACCAGAGUGAAGUGAAAGGAGAAGGAGCGGGUGCCAAAGCUUGGCCUGCAGUCAACAUCGGGCAGAGCCCCGCUUUGGAGGUCCGGGAAGUUUCGCAGAGUGAGCCAUGGACGACCGCCAAGCCACAGUGACGAAGCCUCCACACAGUGUAGCAGCCCUCUUUUUGGCAAGGCUGGCGGCCAAUCAGGUCGGCAGUGGCUUUCUCGCCAAAGAAUAACAUGGCACGCUGGCCCUCUCGCCGCCCCGCCUCCUUUCGCUCCUGCACCACAGCUGCCCAGAAGGAUUUUCUAAACAUUUUGCCAGGAGAUCAAUACCUGUAUUGAUCAACCAUUGUGAGAGUGAUCCGUCUAAAACCCCGAGCUGCCUGGGAGCUGGGAGGAGCGAAAGAGAGAGGCUGUGGAGAGGAUGGAGAAAGAGAGAGUCUGCAGCCACAGUGAAAAGGAGAAGAGGUACAAGGGAGGAGAGGGGCAAUCCGAGCGAGCGGCAGACGCAGAGCCCAGCAGGUUGUGAUACGGGUUUCGGACUAUGCUGCCAGGCCACCAGGAUUGGGCCGAAGCCUAUGAGAGAAACUCUCUCCGCGUCUGAAACACAAUUUGGACACAAGAAGCCAAACGUGUACCGAGCUCACAUGUUCAACUGAAAAUAUAACACCUAAACCUGAAAUGUUGGAGAUAAUCAUGGAUCUGGUGGAAAUGAACAGACCACGUCCUGGAUAUCAACACCAGGAAGGAACAAAAAUGCUUUUAUCAAUGUGUCAACUCUAAUCUAGUUCGUUAAAGCUGAAGCAAGCAAGUCACAGUGUUUUGGGACUUUUGUGGCCGCAUUCAACAUGGAAUACAGGGAUUUUUUUUUUACUUCCUGGUUUGUGGGAAUAUAGCUGGGGUUUUUUUUUGUUUGUUUGUUUUUUUCGCUGGAUUGACCAACAAACGCAAUGAGCGGUCAAUGAAAGGCCUUGAGCUGUGCUGGACCUGAAAGAGGAUUUCCAAAACCCUCUGGGAUUCCCUCUCUCCUACUCACCCCAAAUGCUAAACCGAAAUCAAGAUUGUAUUGACUGCCUUUAAAUGUGAUGUCCUUGUGCAUAAUUGAGGCUUUGAGGGAGACAACAUUCCAAGCUGCCCAUGCUUUGUUGGACGAUCUUGCUGCCAAUGCCACUGGAGCUGUGCACUUGUGUAAAACUUUUUUUUCUUCUGUUUUUACUUUGGAAUCCAAAUAAAGAAUAAUGUCCAUUAUAGACAUUUGAAAAAUACUGUAAAGUGGGUAGCUCAUGUAAUAACAGGCAUUGAUGACCAUUGAUUACCAGCUGUUUAGUUUUUUUUUUACUUAGUUCCGGAUCAUCGCAUCACAUUCUCACUCAUGCAGCUAUAAAUAUAUCUAUGUAUGUGAGUGUGUGUGUAUGUGUGUGUGUGUGUGUAUCUAUCUAUCUAUCUAUCUAUCUAUAUAGAUAUAGAUAUAUAUAUAUAUAUACACAGUAUAUAUAUAGAGGACCUGAGCUGAAUGAGGAAUGGACACCACCUGAGGGGUGAGACGAGGAAUUUUAUAUAUAUACUGUAUAUGUGUGUGUGUGUGCGUUAACGUUAAUUUCAAAAUGUCAAUUUCUUUCAAAAAUCUGAACUAUCCUCCCAUGUUGUCUAUAAUUUUCGCAUAUUAUUAACAAACCCACAUACAUUGUGUGUGAGUAUCGGGAAUUAAUUGUGUUGAAAUUUCAAAAGGAAAAAUCAUUUCGUAUGAAUUCCACAGGCAGCACAUGACAGUUUUCAUCGAAAGGACAGUCAUCAUGUUCUAACAUUCCCCAUUAGGACAAUAUGCCAAAAGCUGCUCAGUACAAAACACUAACGCUACAAUCCCAAUUCUUUUUCCAUUUGCAUCAGUGCCUCGCCACAUAAUAGCAUGCUUCAUUUCAAGGAGGCAAAUGUUAUCACCUUGUACAUUUCAUUCAUGCGCUUUCAAAGCAGGCUUUUCCUGUUUACUUUCAUCCUUUCCGUUUGAUUCUGCUCUUGAGUCAAAGCCAACUCUUGGACGGGUGCCAAACAAUAAAUGAUCUUCAUUAGACACAUCACAUCCAAAUUAGCAUUCAAUUAACAGGCCAGUCAACCUCAUCUAAUCAAGCAAUUAGGCCUUGCGUGUUGACAGAAACGCUAACAAAAGCACACAAGUCCCGUGGGAAAAUGCUGAAACGCUGCAGAGGAGACACGGUGAGAAUGAGAUGCUCGUUCCAGCAAGACUUGGGGAAAAU